GGAACGAACGCUGGCGGCAUGCCUAAUACAUGCAAGUCGAACGAACUCUUCGGAGUUAGUGGCGCACGGGUGCGUAACGCGUGGGAAUCUGCCCCUUGGUUCGGAAUAACAGUUGGAAACGACUGCUAAUACCGGAUGAUGACGAAAGUCCAAAGAUUUAUCGCCAAGGGAUGAGCCCGCGUAGGAUUAGCUAGUUGGUGAGGUAAAGGCUCACCAAGGCAACGAUCCUUAGCUGGUCUGAGAGGAUGAUCAGCCACACUGGGACUGAGACACGGCCCAGACUCCUACGGGAGGCAGCAGUAGGGAAUAUUGGACAAUGGGCGAAAGCCUGAUCCAGCAAUGCCGCGUGAGUGAUGAAGGCCUUAGGUUGUAAAGCUCUUUUACCCGAGAUGAUAAUGACAGUAUCGGAGAAUAAGCCCCGGACUAACUCCGUGCCAGCAGCCGC
rnacentral:rRNA from 1 species